rnacentral:rRNA from 1 species
AGAGUUUGAUCAUGGCUCAGAACGUACGCUGGCGGCACGCCUAACACAUGCAAGUCGAACGAAGUAGCAAUACUUAGUGGCAGACGGGUGAGUAACAUGUAGGUAUCUACCCUUUGGCCUAGAAUAACACGAGGAAACUUGUGCUAAUACCGGAUAAGUCUUUACGGAGAAAGCUUUAUGCACCAUUGGAUGAGCCUGCACUUGAUUAGUUUGUUGGUGGGGUAAUGGCCUACCAAGACUGUGAUCAAUAGCUGAUUUGAGAGGAUGAUCAGCCACAUUGGGACUGAGACACGGCCCAAACUCCUACGGGAGGCAGCAGUGGGGAAUCUUGCACAAUGGAGGAAACUCUGAUGCAGCGAUGCCGCGUGAGUGAAGAAGGCCCUUGGGUUGUAAAGCUCUUUCGUCGGGGAAGAAAAUGACUGUACCCGAAUAAGAAGGUCCGGCUAACUUCGUGCCAGCAGCCGCGGUAAUACGAAGGGACCUAGCGUAGUUCGGAAUUACUGGGCUUAAAGAGUUCGUAGGUGGUUGAAAAAGUUAGUGGUGAAAUCCCAGAGCUUAACUCUGGAACUGCCAUUAAAACUUUUCAGCUAGAGUAUGAUAGAGGAAAGCAGAAUUUCUAGUGUAGAGGUGAAAUUCGUAGAUAUUAGAAAGAAUACCAAUUGCGAAGGCAGCUUUCUGGAUCAUUACUGACACUGAGGAACGAAAGCAUGGGUAGCGAAGAGGAUUAGAUACCCUCGUAGUCCAUGCCGUAAACGAUGUGUGUUAGACGUUGGAAAUUUAUUUUCAGUGUCGCAGCGAAAGCGAUAAACACACCGCCUGGGGAGUACGACCGCAAGGUUAAAACUCAAAUGAAUUGACGGGGACCCGCACAAGUAGUGGAGCAUGUGGUUUAAUUCGAAGAUACGCGCAGAACCUUACCAACACUUGACAUGUUCGUCGCGACUCUAAGAGAUUAGAGUUUUCGGUUCGGCCGGACGAAACACAGGUGCUGCAUGGCUGUCGUCAGCUCGUGUCGUGAGAUGUUGGGUUAAGUCCCGCAACGAGCGCAACCCUCACUUUUAGUUGCCAUCAUUAAGUUGGGCACUCUGAAAGAACUGCCAGUGAUAAGCUGGAGGAAGGUGGGGAUGACGUCAAGUCCUCAUGGCCCUUACGUGUUGGGCUACACACGUGCUACAAUGGUAUCUACAACAGGAAGCAAGACUGCGAGGUCAAGCAAAUCCUUAAAAGAUACCUCAGUUCGGAUUGCACUCUGCAACUCGAGUGCAUGAAGCUGGAAUUACUAGUAAUCGUGGAUCAGCGUGCCACGGUGAAUGCGUUCCCGGGUCUUGUACACACCGCCCGUCACACCAUGGGAGUUGGUUCUACCUUAAGGCAAGGUUUAAAACCCUUGACCACGGUAUAGUCAGCGACUGGGGUGAAGUCGUAACAAGGUAACCGUA